rnacentral:piRNA from 1 species
CAGGCAUCAACAGGAAACCACUCUCU